GAUGAACGCUGGCGGCGUGCCUAAUACAUGCAAGUCGAGCGAACGGACGAGAAGCUUGCUUCUCUGAUGUUAGCGGCGGACGGGUGAGUAACACGUGGAUAACCUACCUAUAAGACUGGGAUAACUUCGGGAAACCGGAGCUAAUACCGGAUAAUAUUUUGAACCGCAUGGUUCAAAAGUGAAAGACGGUCUUGCUGUCACUUAUAGAUGGAUCCGCGCUGCAUUAGCUAGUUGGUAAGGUAACGGCUUACCAAGGCAACGAUGCAUAGCCGACCUGAGAGGGUGAUCAGCCACACUGGAACUGAGACACGGUCCAGACUCCUACGGGAGGCAGCAGUAGGGAAUCUUCCGCAAUGGGCGAAAGCCUGACGGAGCAACGCCGCGUGAGUGAUGAAGGUCUUCGGAUCGUAAAACUCUGUUAUUAGGGAAGAACAUAUGUGUAAGUAACUGUGCACAUCUUGACGUUACCUAAUCAGAAAGCCACGGCUAACUACGUG
rnacentral:rRNA from 1 species